CAGUUGCUUUCAUUUUGCUAUCAUGAGUGGACUCCAUCUGAGGAGAUGCCAACUAAAGAGAACCACAAACCUGAGGAAAUCCCAGAAGAAAAGAAUAAAAAUUUUAAUCAAAUCCUUAUUUUCUCUGGAUUUUUCUAUUACCUAUCAGUCAAGUACACUCUCUCUAAACCAUGCAGAGUGUUGUGAACAGUUGAAGGUACUCUUGUGGUGCUUCCCUAUUGACUGCCAAGAGUAUUCGUCACAGCAAAUUGUCUUCUUGUUGUUUCAGCCAUCCCCAAGUAGGUGUGGAGAAGAAGUAUCAGAUCAAAUAAAACACUUGGAUGGAGGGCUUUAGUUCUCAGGCCAAAGACAACUGAGGAGCUGGCUGGAUUACCAGAAAAGAUUAAGAGGUGACAGCUCUUGGCUCCAAGGCUGCAAGAGGAGAGUGACUGAGCAAGAUGGAGAAGGUC